rnacentral:rRNA from 1 species
GUUUCGGUCUUCCAUCAGGGUUUCCCCUGACUUCAACCUGAUCAAGUAUAGUUCACCAUCUUUCGGGUCACAGCAUAUAUGCUCAAGGUACGCUCUAGUUAGAGGUAUAAAUAAUAUAAAUAUUAUUAUACAUAACCGUAUAGAACGCCCUGGGAUUGAAUUAUUAAUAAAUUAAAAACUAAUCCCAUUAUAGUUAUGUUAAUUAUGCUUUUGGGUUUUAAAUUAAAAUCCCAAAAACUUGCACAUAUGUUAGACUCCUUGGUCCGUGUUUCAAGACGGGUCCCGAAGGUAUCCUGAAUCUUUCGCAUUGUAAAUCGUAUAAAUGCUUAUAAUAAAUAAAAUUAUUAUAAAAUUUCUUACGAAAUUUUUGCAUUAUACAUAUGAUUAAAUCUAUUAAUACUUUAUCAAAUCAAUAGAAAUUAUUUAAUAUUAAUAUACCGAAGUAAAUUAUUUAAAAUAAACAUAUACCCAUUGAUCUUAUGAUAAAUUAUAUAAUAUUAAUAGAUUACAAUGUCCAUUUAUAUAGAGAAAAUGCACACCAUAAUAAUAAUAAAAAUUAUUAUUUUAAUGAUGAAUUCCCUAUAUUGGAUAUUCAGGUUCAUCGGGUUUAACCUCUAAGCAGUUUCACGUACUAUUUAACUCUCUAUUCAGAGUUCUUUUCAACUUUCCCUCACGGUACUUGUUUACUAUCGGUCUAAUGGUUAUAUUUAGUUUUAGAUGGAGUUUACCACCCACUUAGUGCUGCACUAUCAAGCAACACGACUCUUUGGAAAUAUCUUCUAAUAAUCAUUAAUGUUAUACGGGCCUGGCACCCUCUUUGGGUAAAUGGCCUCAUUUAAGAAGGACUUAAAUCAUUAAUUUAUCAUACUAGAAUUUAGAUAUUCCAUAC